rnacentral:rRNA from 1 species
AUUGAACGCUAGCGGGAUGCCUUACACAUGCAAGUCGAACGGCAGCGCGGACUUCGGUCUGGCGGCGAGUGGCGAACGGGUGAGUAAUGUAUCGGAACGUGCCCAGUAGCGGGGGACAACCACUCGAAAGAGUGGCUAAUACCGCAUACGCCCUACGGGGAAAGGGGGGGAGUCGCAAGACCUCUCACUAUUGGAGCGGCCGAUAUCGGAUUAGCUAGUUGGUGGGGUAAAGGCCUACCAAGGCGACGAUCCGUAGCUGGUUUGAGAGGACGACCAGCCACACUGGGACUGAGACACGGCCCAGACUCCUACGGGAGGCAGCAGUGGGGAAUAUUGGACAAUGGGGGAAACCCUGAUCCAGCCAUUCCGCGUGUGCGAUGAAGGCCUUCGGGUUGUAAAGCACUUUUGGCAGGAAAGAAAGUCGUGUGGGUUAAGUACCCUGCGCGGAUGACGGUACCUGCAGAAUAAGCACCGGCUAACUACGUAG